rnacentral:misc_RNA from 1 species
AGGUUGUGGAGAAUCAAGCAGCUGUUCUUCAAUGCACUGCUUCAGUAGACUUCAUGGAAGAAACAAUGAGGCCAUAUCCAGCCACAGUAAAUGAUGAAGCUAUGUAUGAACAUGUCAAGCAAGUUGGGGAAGUUUUGCUUGGCGAAUCCAAUGUGCAAGUUAUGCCCGCCAUUAUGGGGUCAGAGGAUUUUAGCUUUUAUGCACAGAAGAUGAAAGCUGC